GAUGAACGCUGGCGGCGUGCCUAAUACAUGCGAGUCGAGCGAACGGACGAGAAGCUUGCUUCUCUGAUGUUAGCGGCGGACGGGUGAGUAACACGUGGAUAACCUACCUAUAAGACUGGGAUAACUUCGGGAAACCGGAGCUAAUACCGGAUAAUAUUUUGAACUGCAUGGUUCAAAAGUGAAAGACGGUCUUGCUGUCACUUAUAGAUGGAUCCGCGCUGCAUUAGCUAGUUGGUAAGGUAACGGCUUACCAAGGCAACGAUGCAUAGCCGACCUGAGAGGGUGAUCGGCCACACUGGAACUGAGACACGGUCCAGACUCCUACGGGAGGCAGCAGUAGGGAAUCUUCCGCAAUGGGCGAAAGCCUGACGGAGCAACGCCGCGUGAGUGAUGAAGGUCUUCGGAUCGUAAAACUCUGUUAUUAGGGAAGAACAUAUGUGUAAGUAACUGUGCACAUCUUGACGGUACCUAAUCAGAAAGCCACGGCUAACUACGUG
rnacentral:rRNA from 1 species